GGCGAACGCUGGCGGCGUGCUUAACACAUGCAAGUCGAACGGAAAGGCCCUGCUUUUGUGGGGUGCUCGAGUGGCGAACGGGUGAGUAACACGUGAGUAACCUGCCCUUGACUUUGGGAUAACUUCAGGAAACUGGGGCUAAUACCGGAUAGGAGCUCCUGCUGCAUGGUGGGGGUUGGAAAGUUUCGGCGGUUGGGGAUGGACUCGCGGCUUAUCAGCUGGUUGGUGGGGUAGUGGCUUACCAAGGCUUUGACGGGUAGCCGGCCUGAGAGGGUGACCGGCCACAUUGGGACUGAGAUACGGCCCAGACUCCUACGGGAGGCAGCAGUGGGGAAUAUUGCACAAUGGGCGGAAGCCUGAUGCAGCAACGCCGCGUGCGGGAUGACGGCCUUCGGGUUGUAAACCGCUUUCGCCUGUGACGAAGCGUGAGUGACGGUAAUGGGUAAAGAAGCACCGGCUAACUACGUG
rnacentral:rRNA from 1 species